rnacentral:lncRNA from 1 species
GGAUUAGGCGCCUCUCUCAUGGUUUAAUCCCAAUCCAAUUAGGAUUAGCCAAUUGGGUUCAAUCUAUGCCAGUCCUAAUCCAAUUAGGACUUGAAUGAACCAUGACUCAAUUGAACUCUUCAAUCCUAAUCCAAUUAGGAGUCAUGUUGAUUCAUUAGAUUAUUAAUUAAUUUAGACUUAAGGAAUCCUAAUCUAAUUAGGAUGUAUUUAAUUUCAGUCCUAAUCCAAUUAGGACUCUAUUUGAAUCCAAAGUCCUAAUCCAAUUAGGAUUUCUAG